GAUAAUUAAACUCCGGUGGUAUAAGAUGAGUGUGCGUCUGAUUAGCUAGUUGGUGGGGUAACGGCUCACCAAGGCAACGAUCAAUAGCUGGUCUGAGAGGAUGAUCAGCCACACGGGCACUGAGACACGGGCCCGACUCCUACGGGAGGCAGCAGUAGGGAAUAUUGGACAAUGGGCGCAAGCCUGAUCCAGCCAUCCCGCGUGAAGGAUUAAGGCCCUCUGGGUUGUAAACUUCUUUUCUUUGGGAAUAAAAACUCCGUUUCUACGGAGCUUGAAGGUACCAGAGGAAUAAGCACCGGCUAACUCCGUG
rnacentral:rRNA from 1 species